rnacentral:misc_RNA from 1 species
UGAAGAGUUGGAUCAGGUGCAGCUGAUGACGUUGCACGCCUCAAAAGGGCUGGAAUUUCCCUACGUCUACCUGGUGGGUAUGGAAGAGGGAUUACUGCCGCACCAAAGCA